rnacentral:rRNA from 1 species
GAUGAACGCUGGCGGCGUGCCUAAUACAUGCAAGUCGAGCGAAUGGAUUGAGAGCUUGCUCUUAUGAAGUUAGCGGCGGACGGGUGAGUAACACGUGGGUAACCUGCCCAUAAGACUGGGAUAACUCCGGGAAACCGGGGCUAAUACCGGAUAACAUUUUGAACCGCAUGGUUCGAAAUUGAAAGGCGGCUUCGGCUGUCACUUAUGGAUGGACCCGCGUCGCAUUAGCUAGUUGGUGAGGUAACGGCUCACCAAGGCAACGAUGCGUAGCCGACCUGAGAGGGUGAUCGGCCACACUGGGACUGAGACACGGCCCAGACUCCUACGGGAGGCAGCAGUAGGGAAUCUUCCGCAAUGGACGAAAGUCUGACGGAGCAACGCCGCGUGAGUGAUGAAGGCUUUCGGGUCGUAAAACCCUGUUGUUAGGGAAGAACAAGUGCUAGUUGAAUAGGCUGGCACCUUGACGGUACCUAACCAGAAAGCCACGGCUAACUACGUGCCAGCAGCCGCAGUAA